GGGCAGAACCGUAGCUCGCAGCCACCUUCCAUUGCAGCCCAUCUUGGAGUUCCAGAUUUUUCAAAAUACAAGAGGGGAGGUUUUGAUCUUCAUUUCUUGGAAGGAGGUGGCUAAGAAAGGUUAGUUGAUUCCUCUAAUGCCUCUUUUUGUGCCCUCUUGCUCAAUUUAAGCUACUUUUCGGAUCUAGGGUUUCACCAUGAGAGGGAGAGAGUAGAAUAGCUAGGUAUGGACUAUAUUUGCUCAAAUGAGGUUGCUCAAGAUGGUUUGAUGAUGUCUCUCUUCUCUUCUUUUUUAUGUUUCCUUCUCUAAUUAGUGAAUCCAAGAAAUAUAUAUGUAGUAGUUUCCAUGAAUGGUGUUUCCAUGCUUGGGAAGAGAGAGAAAGAUAAGUUUUCUUUUUAGUUUUUUAAAUUAUAUUGUUUAGGAUGUUAUUUUUUAUGUAAAUUUGAUUUAAUUAUGGGAUAAGCAUUUUUCAUGUAUGAGGUUGCUUAAGAUGGUUCCUCUCCUCUCACCAUUUCCAUGUUUCCUUCUCAAAUAUUUUUCUAGUGAUAUAAACAUAUAUAUUUAGUUUCAAUCAACAGUGUUUUUGUACCUUGUCAAAUUUAUUUUAGUGAUAUAAAGAUAUAUAUUUAGGGUUUUGUCUUUAUUUUUUAUACUUGUUCUACUUUUUCAAUUUGAUUUAAUUGUUAGGUGUUCUUUUAUUUUUUAUAACAAAUAUUCCAAGACAAUAAUUCAAUUAAUUUACUAACUUUUCAACAGGUCAAAAUACAAGGGUGGAGGUUUUGAUCUUCAUUUCUUGGAAGGAGGUGGCUAAGAAAGGUUAGUUGAUGCCUCUAAUGCCUCUUUUUGUGCCGUCUUGCUCAAUUUGAGCUACUUUUUGGAUCUAGGGUUUCACCAUGAGAGGGAGAGAGUAGAAUAGCUAGGUAUGGUCUAUAUUUUCUCAAAUGAGGUUGCUUAAGAUGGUUAGAUGAUGUCUUUCCUCGCUUCUUUUUUAUGUUUCCUUCUCUAAUUAGUGAAUCCAAGAAAUAUAUAUGUAGUAGUUUCCAUGAAUGGUGUUUCCAUGCUUGGGAAGAGAGAGAAAGAUAAGUUUUCUUUUUAGUUUUUUAAACUAUAUUGUUUAGGAUGUUAUUUUUUAUGUAAAUUUAAUUUAAUUAUGCGAUAAGCAUUUUUGUGCCCUCUUGUUUAAGAUGUUGCCUCUCCUCUCACCAUUUCCAUGUUUCCUUUUUCAAUUUGAUUUAAUUGUUAAGACUUCUUUUAUUUUUAAUAACAAAUAUUCGUAGAUAAUAUUUCAAUUAAUUUACUAACUUUUCAACAGGUCAUGAAGGAGAGGCCCUUACGAAUGUAUAACUUAUCAAGACUAGAUCCAUCAUAUAUACCUGAGGUGCAUAGGUUUGUUG
rnacentral:lncRNA from 1 species